ensembl:snRNA U1 U1 spliceosomal RNA
AUACUAACCUGCCAGGGGAGAUACCAUGAUCAUGAAGGUGAUAUUCCAGGGCAAGGCUUAUCCAUUGCACUCUGGUUGUGCUGACCCCUGAGAUUUCUCCAAAUGUAGGAAAUUCGACUGCAUAAUUUGUGGUAGUGAGGGAACACGUUCGCCCUCU